GGUCAAUGAUGUAAUCUGGCAUGUAUUAUCUGACUUCAGCUGUAGAAGUCUUUAGAAUGAUACUGAGACCUA
rnacentral:snoRNA from 1 species